GGGCUAUUAGCUCAAUGGUAGAGCAGGUCCCUCUUAAGGACAAGGUUGUAGGUUCGAGUCCUACAUAGCCCA
rnacentral:tRNA from 1 species